AUUGAACGCUGGCGGCAGGCUUAACACAUGCAAGUCGAGCGGGGUGAUGGUGCUUGCACUAUCACUUAGCGGCGGACGGGUGAGUAAUGCUUAGGAAUCUGCCUAUUAGUGGGGGACAACAUCUCGAAAGGGAUGCUAAUACCGCAUACGUCCUACGGGAGAAAGCAGGGGAUCACUGGUGAUCUUGCGCUAAUAGAUGAGCCUAAGUCGGAUUAGCUAGUUGGUGGGGUAAAGGCCUACCAAGGCGACGAUCUGUAGCGUGUCUGAGAGGAUGAUCCGCCACACUGGGACUGAGACACGGCCCAGACUCCUACGGGAGGCAGCAGUGGGGAAUAUUGGACAAUGGGGGGAACCCUGAUCCAGCCAUGCCGCGUGUGUGAAGAAGGCCUUAUGGUUGUAAAGCACUUUAAGCGAGGAGGAGGCUCUUUUGGUUAAUACCCAGAAUGAGUGGACGUUACUCGCAGAAUAAGCACCGGCUAACUCUGUGCCAGCCGCCGCCGUAA
rnacentral:rRNA from 1 species